GACGAAAUGCAGUACUAGAAGUGGUACCCAAUCUGAGCCCGAGUGUGACGGACCUGAUCAAAGUUAAGUUUUUACUCGACGGAAGCCGCAAAUACAAUUUCUUCACAUAUUGUUGUUGCAGUUCAUCGAAUAUGCGGAAGUCCUUGAGAACAAUCUGGCCCUGUUUGAGCUUCUACCAAUCUUGCCAAUCUACAAUGCCUCCGGCACCGAUGAGCUAAGCAUUGACCUGACGAGGGUACUAUGGAUAUCACCAGACAAGAAGCGAUCGAGACAGCUGAGAGAUCGUUUACGAGAUGGUACGUGACCGUAGCAUGGCGCUGCUAAUGUUUUUCAGCAAAUCAAUAAUAAAAAUCUGUUGUCUAGCUAUUAAUGGCAUCUUGAA